UCAACAUUCUUCUCAUACUAAGUCCAAAACAUAACACUAUACCAGCUACUAGAAAGAAGAUUAACUCCACCCCAGCCGAAAUCAGGACAAAGAGAAAGAGAGCAAGCAG